rnacentral:rRNA from 1 species
UACGUAGGGGGCAAGCGUUGUCCGGAAUUAUUGGGCGUAAAGCGCGCGCAGGCGGUUAGUUAAGUCUGAUGGUAAAGCCCGGGGCUCAACCCCGGAUUUCAUUGGAAACUGGCAAACUGGAGUGCAGGAGAGGGAAGCGGAAUUCCACGUGUAGCGGUGAAAUGCGUAGAGAUGUGGAGGAACACCAGUGGCGAAGGCGGCUUCCUGGCCUGUAACUGACGCUGAGGCGCGAAAGCGUGGGGAGCAAACAGG